GGAAAGGUGGCAAACCAAUCUUCGUUCUAUUCCAAUUCGUGGGAUGCUGCAAGAGCUGUUGAUGGAGACACACGACAGGACUUAUUUUCAUCGUCCUCAUGUGCUAAAACUGGUGUAGGUCAGAAAACUGCUUCAUGGUAUGUAGAUCUCGGAAAGAUCAUGAGUAUACAUCAUGUGGAUAUUUACUACAGGAAGGAAAGCGACAGCGCGUAUGGAUGCCAGGGGAUUUCUCAGUAUGGAGAAUAUUGUUUGUCUUGUCCCUCAACAUGUCCAGAUGCUCGCUGCAACAUGUCCACUGGGAGUUGUUUUUACUGCUUAGAUGGGUUUACCGGUGAAAACUGCACAGAAAAUACAAGACUUGUGGGAGGAUUGACUGAAUACCAAGGUAGAUUAGAAGUUUACUACAACGAAUCUUGGGGAACAGUCAAUAAUUUUUAUAAUCAUCAGUAUUCAGACGAGUAUAAAAACCUGGCUGCAGUUGUGUGUCGAUCCUUAGGAUUACCUUGGACUACAUCGGAGGGAUAUUGCUGUUCGCGUUACGGACAAGGCUCUGGUCCAGUCUGGCUUGUAGAUGUGCAGUGUUUUGGAAAUGAGUCUAACAUAGAAGAGUGUAGUCACAUGGGCUGGGGUUAUGGUUAUGACUGGGGGCACUGGUCGGACGUAUCUAUCGACUGCUUGCCAAAUACAAACCCGGUGCGACUAGUAGGAGGUUCGACAGGUUACGAGGGAAGAGUAGAGGUGUAUCGUAAUGGAGUUUGGGGAACUGUGUGUGACGAAUUAUGGGACGACCAAAACUCAGCUGUUGUUUGUACAUCUAUGGGGUUUUCAUCCGAGGAAGCGAAGACUCUGUAUGGUCAACCCUUUGGGCGAGGAACAGGACCAGUACAUAUGAAUGGUGUUGAAUGUCAGGGAAAUGAAAGUAGUAUUUUGCAGUGUAACCACCGCGGAUGGGGAAAUCACCCUUGUGACCAUUCUAGAGAUGUAUCUGUAAAUUGCACAUCUUAUAUAAACGUAACAACACGGCUAGCGGGAGGUCCAAAUCCUUACGAGGGCAUAGUAGAGGUUUAUAGGAAUGGCUCUUGGGGAACAGUCUCCGAUUCAUAUUGGAUUUGGAACAACGCAUGUACCGCAGUCGUUUGUAGAUCUCUUGGGUACCUUUGGGAUAAUGCUACCUACUUUCGCUUUCAAAAUAUAGAUGGGUCAGGUCCGAUUCAUAUUUGCAACGUACAAUGCAAUGGUACAGAAACGGAUCUUACGGAAUGUUGGCAGUUUGAGGAUGGAUAUGAAUACUAUUACUAUUGUGAUCAUUUUUACGACAUAUAUGUAAAAUGUGAUAGUGGCAUCGAUGAGUGUGCUGAACAACCAUGCCAGAACAAUGGGACUUGUGUAGAUCUGAUAAACGAUUACGAAUGUUAUUGUAUGGACGGGUUUAAUGGAACAGACUGUACAAAAAAUAUUAACGACUGCCAGCCAGAUCCUUGUGAAAACAAUGGAACAUGCAUUGACCUUGUCAAUGAUUACCGAUGUGAUUGUGUGGCAGGAUUCAAUGGAACAAUAUGUGAAAACAUAAAUGCAAAUAACGAUCAUUAUUUAGAUAUCGAUGAGUGUGAAGCUCAACCAUGUCAGAACAACGGAACUUGUGUAGAUCUGAUUAAUGAAUAUCAGUGUUACUGUAUAGAUGGAUUUAAUGACAAAAACUGCACAAAUAAUAUUAACGACUGCCAGCCAGAUCCUUGUGAAAACAAUGGAACAUGCAUAGACCUUGUCAAUCAUUACCGAUGUGAUUGUGUGGCAGGAUUCAAUGGAACAAUAUGUGAAAACAAUAUCGAUGAGUGUGAAGCUCAGCCAUGUCAGAACAACGGAACUUGUGUAGAUCUGAUUAAUGAAUAUCAGUGUUACUGUAUAGAUGGAUUUAAUGACAAAAACUGCACAAAUAAUAUCAAUGACUGUAUACCAGAGCCUUGUCAGAAUAAUGGAACUUGUAUAGAUCUGAUCCAUGAUUAUCAGUGUUAUUGUACACAGGGGUUUAAUGGAACAACCUGUACAAAUAACAUUAAUGACUGUGUACCGGAGCCUUGUAAGAAUAAUGGAACUUGUAUAGAUCUGAUCAAUGAUUAUCAGUGUAAUUGUGCACAGGGGUUGAAUGGAACAACCUGUACAAAUAACAUUGAUGACUGCCUACCGGAUCCUUGUCUAAACAAUGGAACUUGUAUAGACCUGGUCAACGACUACCACUGUGAUUGUGUGGAAGGUUUUAACGGGACACAUUGUGGAAAAAAUAUCGAUGAGUGUGAAGUUCAACCAUGUCAGAACAAUGGAACUUGUGUAGAUCUGAUAAAUAAAUACCAAUGUUUCUGUACAGAUGGAUUUAAUGGAGCGAAUUGUGCAAUUGAUAUUAACGAGUGUGCAUCUCAACCUUGUCAGAACAAUGGGACUUGUAUAGAUCUGAUCAACGAAUAUAAAUGUCGUUGUACAAACGGGUAUAGUGGAAAGAAGUGUACAAAUGAUACAUAUGUACUACACAUACUCAGCUUUGAAGGCAGCAACUUAGUACUACAUGAAGGAAAAUCUACCCGGUUUAAAUUACAAUUGAAAAGUAAAACGAUGAAUGAGGUCAAGUGGUUUCACAAUGGAUACGUGAUUAACAACCCACCAAGAAGAUACAAAAUCACGUCACUUAGAGCAGAAAAUAACACAUCAUUUCAUACUUUAGAUAUCGAAAACGUUUUACAGCGAGAUAUGGGAGCAUGGAAAAUUACAGUGUCUAAUCAAGUAACCUAUGUAUCAAGGGAAAUGACACUUAAAGUUAUACCUAGAUUGGUGCUUCAUAUGAACCCAACAUACGACUUUUCAAUACUAAGGGGUGACAAAAUAAAUCUUCAAUGUACAGUCACAAAUCCAGAGUCUUUGUUUGAUGUCAACAACGGAAGUCUCGUUAUCACAAAGGAUGGGUCUGUGUUACCAGAUGUUAGUAGUUCAACUUUUUCCACAACAUGGAUCAAGUAUUCAGCAAUGGAAGCCGAUUCUGGUAGAUAUACAUGCACACACUCUGGUUAUCAUGCUCCCGUGACUGUCUCUGUGUAUGUCACUGUCAUUCAACCAGAGCAAAAGAGAUGUGAGAGUGAAUGGUCAGAAGGUGUACUGUGGAAUGCUACAUUGGCAGGAGCAAUUAAACAGGAACCUUGUCCAGCAAAACAGAAAGGAUUUGCAACAAGAUAUUGUGAACAACAUGGAAUAUGGGCAUCUCCUAGCCUUAUCAACUGCACAAGUGAAGCUUUCAAAGACGCAUCAUCACAAUUGGAUGGUAUAAUAGAAGAUGGAAUACAAAAUACGGAGAAAGUUCAAGAGACGGUCAACAACACCUUACAAAUGAUGAAAAACCUUACAUCGUCGACCAAUGAACUCAGUGCUGGGGAUCUGAGCUCUUCUCUGGACAUCUUGGAGAAAAUUGUCGAUGUCACUAACUUAACAGGGUCGACUAUUGAGAAGGAGGUCGUUACUUUUAUGUCUAUAAAAUAUUGA
rnacentral:sRNA from 1 species